rnacentral:lncRNA from 1 species
AGAAGAGCUGCGUGGUCUCUAAGUCCAGAGACAAGUCUAUCAGGGCCUUUCAGACAGGCAAGCUGGUGAGCCAAUCAGAAUCAUCCAGCAGUUGGUUCCCUGGAAACAGAAUCAGUUAAACUGUCAGAGCCCCAACCAGACUGUCUUGCGAAUCUGGACAAGAUGGCCCUUCUUGAGUCAGUCUGGACUCCAGACUGAGGUGCACUAGUGAGUCAGGGGAAUGUUGGUGGAAAGGUGGAAGUCGGGAAGGUGACCAGUGGUCAACAGGCUCAAGCCAUCCAGGCACACACACCGUGUGGGUGUGCCCAGCACCUUGGGGGAUGAAGCAGCUUCUAGUAGAGGGACUCCCCUGGAUGGGAAGCCAACAUGCCUGGUUAUACUGAAGACCAGCUGAGACAUCCAGCUUUGUGGACUGAACAACUUCUGGAUUCUUGCACUUUCUGUUCAUGUUCAUAGCCUGCCAUUGUUGGACUAGCUACUAGCUGAAUCACAGCGUGACAUCCCAAGUUCUUACGGAAAAUUCCACCAGCACUCACUAGCAUAAGGAGAAGUCCUAAGCACCUCCCCAGAAUCCUGAGACUGAGUGUAAGAAUCCUAAAGCUCUAUGGAACGUCUGCUCCUGGGAUUAGCAAUUCAAAACAAUCAGUUUGAACUGAGCUGGGACGACUCCUAGAACUCCAUUUGAACAUCAACACUGGAUUGCCUGAAGACUGAACCCUAGGCCCCAGGUCAACCACCUGACAAAGCAUGUAGGCCUUUGCAGAAAACCACAGAUCCAAGCUAGAAUAGCACAAAAGUUAGAGCAAGUGCCAGCAAAAUAAUGAACAGUGUGCUCAUACACUGGCUUAGGAAAUGAAGUGCUGUCAUUAGUCUCCAGGGUCUUUGUGUCCCUUCUUCACACCUAGGCAACUAUUACCCUGAAGUUAGUGCUGGCAAGUCAUUUGCUUUUCUUUAUGUUCUACUACACACUGAGAUAUACUGAGAGAAUUCAUUGACCACUUCUGCACAUCCUUGAAAGUUCCCUGUGGAUGACUUGGCAUUUCUUUGCUUAAUGAGACACACUGAAGUAUCUCAAGACUCUAUGGGCUGUGAAGCCGGCCUCUGAUAUCUCUGUAUCCAUGGAUACCAAAUAUGUAGUUUUUGAGUGGCAAAGGGAGAUACAAAGAGGGUCCCUUGUGAAGGAGGGAAAUGGUGGUGCCAUGGAAUUAGGACCUGAGAUCAGCCAGAAUCACCUACCUAGACCAAGGGAUACUGUGUUUUCUUAUGUUUAUGGCUGAGGUGCAAUACAUAUUAGUACAUGCGGAGUCAUACCAACAUUUCAUGCAACAUCACCAAGGAGACACAUGGAUUAAAGACAUGAAAAGAUUGGACCCCACACACAAGCUGAAAUGGUGGAAAUAAAUAGGGACCGACGAGUGGCUCAGUGGGUAACGCACCUGCAGCACAGGCCGGACAGCCUGGGUUUCAUCUCACAUAAAGGUGGGAGCGGAGAACCGACUCCACAAAACUGUCCUCUGACCUUUGUGCUUGGGCACACACACAUCAUAGCCAAUAAGAAUUUUUAUUAUAAAAAGAGAAGCUACAAAAGGAUCUGCAAACCCAAAGGCCUCCAAGGAAACAAGCCUCUUCACUUGCAUGCGUUUUCAUCCCAGACCUCUGUCUUGUCCUGACGCGUCAGACCAGCACAACCGCAAACCCCCAAGGAACUGCUAGGCGGAUGGGUUUGCUCUCGAGAAUGCGUACAGCGAGAGAAGUGGAAACUUUCCGUUUAAGGCACAUUCCUUUCAUUCCAAGAAACGGGACUGAUGAUGAUAGGCAUGUCUGUGACUUGGGGACAAGGAGCUCUUCAGGUGAAGCUGCAGGCGACGGAGUCCAGUCAGUGAAAUCAAGCGACUGCAGACUGAGCGACUUGAAAACCAGCUGUGCACCUCCAGCCUGGCCAGCCCAGGGGAGCCACCAGUGGCCUUUCAAGCCGUCCAUUUGAUAUGCUUUUUUUCCUGUUGCUAUCACUGGGCGUUCCCUUUUUACAGUCGCCACCUUGAGCGCACCACGGCCUUGUGCUCCAACUCAGCCCAUCUGUGAGUCAGAAGAUUCUGGUUUUCAGGCCAGCCUUGGGAUCCAACAAGGAGCCAAGAGAGAGCGGGCUCCGGCAUCUACCGUAUCUCUUCCUACACAGUGUAAGCAGAGAAUGCCAGGUGGAAUCCUUUUGUUUCUUCUUCUUGCCAACUUUCUUCCUAGAACGUCCAACUCACUGUUGAAUAGAAAUAUCUCUCGAAGGUGGUAUCCUCGUCUUCCUGUUCAUCUGUGGGCUUUCAUGGGUGUCCUCUAUCGGCAGGAGGUGUGUUCUCUUUUUGGUCCUCCCUCAACAACUGUUUUCCUUAUGAAGAGGCACUAGAUUUAUGUACCCCAUACUUUUUCUGUGUCUAUUGGGAUGGCCAUGUGUUUUUUAAACAUUUAUCUCAUUAAGAUGUGCCUUAUUAAUUUUCUGCAUCGGUCUUGUUUUUGAGGUAGCCUGUCCCUGAGUCUAGCCCUUCACAUCUUGAUGCCUUAGGUUCCAAGGGUGAACCUCAAGUGUUAAGAGGAUCUUAAUCUUGUGCUGCUGCAAGAUCCCUCUGCUAUCUCUUUGUUGAAGAGUUUUGAAUCUGUAUUAGUAAGAUGCGUUGGCCUGUGGUUUCCUGUUUGCGUCUUUAUCUUUUGACACCAGGCUGAGCAGCAGCUGCGCCCUGGGCUUAAAGGCUCAUCUUCUCUCCGUGUGUGUGUGGGGGGGGGGGGGGGCGGGGGGGCCCAGUCUUCAGAGUCAGGAAGUCCCUCUCACGUGGUCGAGUUCCAGAGACCAAGCUCCUGUCGCUUUAGAUCCUGAGUGUUGUGGAGGGGCUCCACGGAGCAAGAACCUUCCAAGCCCUCACAGCCUGGAGCACCUCUGGGUCCGUUCAGUGGGAGCGUCUCCAGGAGAGCCCCUCCCUCCCGGGACUCACUUGAAGAUGAGCAAACAGCACCAAGCCAGUGAAAACUGCUUCCACGGCUCUGAAGGGAGAGGAGAGGGGAUUCCUUGUGCAUGGCUUACAUCCCCCGUGGGCAGCCAUUCUAAAGCACUUGCUUAGACGUGGAUAACUCACAGGCACUUCAGGGAUGGGAUGGAGGACAUAAACUGGUGGGGUCACUUUGGCCUUUACCAGUGAAGUGGAGGCUGCAAUUUCAUAGCCAGACAUCUUGACAUGGGAACCCGAGGGGAAGGGGGAAUCGUCCUCAGCGCAGCAAAGCUGAAUGGAACCCAGCUGUACGUUAACGGGAGACAUAAACGGCAAACUGUGCAUUCAUGGGGAAAAGAAACGGCAAAGUGUGCGUUAGCAGGAGAGACAAACUAUGGUAGGAACAGUGUGAGAGACCAACGCCUUUGUAGCAGUAGAGAUGUGCAAACCAAAAACAACUACAUGUUUCGAUGUAGCAAAGUCCCUGAUAAGGGCUGGAGGGCCACACCCCUUAAAAGAUGCACAAAAUUGCCUGCACCAAGGCAAAACAAACAAACAAACAAAACAAAACAAACAAAAACUAUAGGCAACAUAUGAAGAAGGGAAAGGAUGGAGAAUGGGAAUUCGCCAGAUAGGAUUGCUGGGGAUGGCAGGGGCGGAAAAAGACUGGAAGAAAUAGCCGUGGGGUCUGUAUGAGGAGGUGUGUACAGCUGGGCUGGGCACUGUCACAGCGCUGUCAUAGUGCCCAGCCUAGCCCAGCUGUCCCUUGCAUCAUUUGCACAAUUUAUGUGUUCUUUCAGGUACAGAAAACAAUGUUUGAUACCUCGAUUUUAGGUAUCAUGAGAGCCUGGGCUAUAGCUCUUCUCCCUUCCUCCAGAUCCCUUCAUGCUAAAAACAGAUUUAAACAAAACCCCGCUAAGAGCUAAGACAGCGAGAAUGAGCCCCGGGGACUGUACAGAGAGAAGCCCAGAAGGAGAAACUAUGCCAAGCAAGGCCUGCUGGGAAGCCACCAGAAAAGCCUCCCCUGGAGAGGGACAACAUGACCCAGAUUGCUGGUCUUGGCGUCUUACCCAGAGAACUGCAAACCCACAGAUCUGCACAGAAGCAAGAAGACUCAUUUGAAGCAGUGAUCACGAAGAUACAGAAGGGUUCCCUGGCAAACUCGACAACGACCGCACGAGUGAGGAUACUCAAGGGCCACAAUUGUUGCUGGAAGUUGCUUUUAUGGGGUUCAAGAGAAGGAGCAGCUGGUGACUAAGGGGUGCAGUUAUGGUAGUUCUCAAAGUUGGCUGUAUGUCUCUCCCCAUGAUGCACCUGGUCUUAAUCAAAUGCGCAUCCGAUUCUGUAUAGGAGUAAGGUUUCCUGAAGAUACAGCUUUACCUCAAUGCUCAUAUACCUAAAACUAGCUCAGGCCAGAUCGGCCUUCCUGUUCUUCAUGGCCGGUGCAUUGGGAAUAUGCUUGAAUGGAAACUAUGAAUCUGAUUGUAACUGGGGUGGGGAAGCUCGCACCACUGUUCAAAAAUGAGAAUCUGUGUCGCUCGGGGCUGAGAGGAAGCCAAGGGGUUCCUAGAAGAACCAGAUGCGUUGUCUGAAGAGGAAUGUGGGCACUAGUUUAUUUUCUGUUGCCCUUGUAAACACUAAAACCAGAAGCAAUGUGAAGAAAAAUAGGGGCGGGGGGCGGGGUGGUAUCUCAUCUAACUACACCCAGGUUCCUCACCAAGAGAAGUCAAGGCAGGACCUGCAGGGAGAAGCUGUGGAGGAGAGCUGCUUCCAGGUUGCUCCCCUGUCUUCCUCAGUGUUCUAUUGCUGUGGAGAGACACCAUUAUCACGGCAACUCUUACAAAAGAAAGCAUUUCUCUGGUGCUGGCUUCCAGUUUCAGAGGUUUAGUCCAUAAUCAUCAUGACAGGGAGCAGGGUGGCACUCUGGCACGCUGGCACGAUAGAGGCAGAAAUAACGCUAGAGAAGUAGCUGAGAGUUCUACAGCUGGAUCUGCAGGCAGCCAGUUACAACAGGUAACAGUUGUCUCUAGUUUGUGUGAAGUUGACAAAGACGAGCAACAUGGACUAUGCCUAGCAGGACACACCUUUAAUGCCUGCAGAGGCAGGAGAAUAUCUAUUAUUUCGAGGAGGGCCGUCUGGUCUACAUAGCAGGAUCUGUUAUGUUGCUCUAGCUGUCCUGGAACUCCAUAUACCAACCAGGCUGGCCCUGAAGUACCAGAAAUCCUCCUGCCUCUGCUUCCCGAGUGCUGGGACCAAAAGUGUGAGCUGCCACCGUACCCAGCUUUAAUAAAUUCUCUCCUUUCUCCCUCCCUCCCUCUCUCUCUCUCCCUCUCUUUCCCUCCCUCCCUCCCUCCCUCCCUCUUUCCCUCCCUCUCUCUCUCCCUCUCUCCCUCUCUUUCUCUCUCCCUCUCUCUCUCUCUCAUCCCAUUAAUUUUAUUCCUCUAAGAGAACCCUGACUUAUGCUGCUAAAGAGACUAAACAGCUUCAGA